rnacentral:rRNA from 1 species
AAGACGUCUACAUUAGAUACCCCGGUAGUCCUAGCCGUAAACGAUACUCGCUAGGUGUCGGCCACGGUGCGACCGUUGUCGGUGCCGUAGGGAAGCCGUGAAGCGAGCCACCUGGGAAGUACGGCCGCAAGGCUGAAAACUUAAAGGAAUUGGCGGGGGAGCACAAUAACGGGUGGAGCUUGCGGUUUAAUUGGAUUCAACGCCGGAAAUCUUACCGGACCGACAGCAAUAUGAAGGCCAAGCUGAAGACUUUGCCGGAUUAGCUG